rnacentral:rRNA from 1 species
GAUGAACGCUGGCGGCGUGCCUAAUACAUGCAAGUCGAGCGAACGGACGAGAAGCUUGCUUCUCUGAUGUUAGCGGCGGACGGGUGAGUAACACGUGGAUAACCUACCUAUAAGACUGGGAUAACUUCGGGAAACCGGAGCUAAUACCGGAUGAUAUUUUGAACCGCAUGGUUCAAAAGUGAAAGACGGUCUUGCUGUCACUUAUAGAUGGAUCCGCGCUGCAUUAGCUAGUUGGUAAGGUAACGGCUUACCAAGGCAACGAUGCAUAGCCGACCUGAGAGGGUGAUCGGCCACACUGGAACUGAGACACGGUCCAGACUCCUACGGGAGGCAGCAGUAGGGAAUCUUCCGCAAUGGGCGAAAGCCUGACGGAGCAACGCCGCGUGAGUGAUGAAGGUCUUCGGAUCGUAAAACUCUGUUAUUAGGGAAGAACAAAUGUGUAAGUAACUAUGCACAUCUUGACGGUACCUAAUCAGAAAGCCACGGCUAACUACGUG